GAUAUAUGAUUUCCUAUCAGCAGAUGGAGGCCGGCAGUUUCCACAAUGACAGCCUACACGGUCUGUUUCACUGACGAAUCCAGUUGGCACUGCACUGAAGCUGCUCUGCAAUAAUUUAUGAAUGCCAGAUGUUGACCUGAAGCAGGACCAGGAUGAUGAUGCCGACGACGUGGCGAUUGCUAUCGACAACACGGGGUUCAUGGACGAGUUCUUCUCGGAGAUUGAAGAAACCCGACAAAACAUUGAGAAAAUUGCCGAGAACGUGGAGGGGGCGAAGAAGCUGUACAGUAUCAUUCUGUCCGCCCCCAUCCCCGAACAAAAGACGAAGGACGACCUGGAGCAGCUCACAGCAGAGAUCAAGAAAAUGGCCAACAGCGUUCGAAACAAGCUGAAGAGCAUGGAGCGGAGCAUCGAGCAGGAUGAGAUCCAGUCAUCAGCAGAUCUACGGAUACGGAAAUCCCAGCAUUCUGUCCUCUCACGAAAGUUCGUCGAUGUGAUGACCAAAUACAACGAGGCACAGGUUGACUUCCGGGAACGUAGCAAAGGGCGGAUCCAGCGGCAGCUCGAAAUCACUGGGAAGAACACAACGGAUGAGGAGCUGGAGGAGAUGCUCGAGAGUGGAAACCCAUCAAUAUUCACAUCUGGGAUCAUGGAUUCGCAGAUCUCGAAGCAGGCGCUGAGUGAGAUUGAGGGGCGGCACAAGGACAUUGUGCGGCUCGAGAGCAGCAUCAAGGAGCUCCAUGACAUGUUUGUGGACAUAGCCAUGCUGGUGGAAAACCAGGGCGGAGUCAUAGAUAACAUAGAGCUGAACAUGCUGCACACAGUAGACCACAUAGAGAAAGCGCGCGAGGAGACCAAAAAGGCUCUGAUAUACAAGAACAAGACACGCAAGAAAACGCUAAUUAUCAUUGUGGUAGUGGUUGUCUUGCUGGCAAUAGUAGCUCUGAUUAUUGGACUUUCCGUAGGGCUCAAGUAAAGCUGGCCCUCAGGGUUGCUGGCUCUGAACUGGGUCAGGGGGUGGAUUGGAGAAGAAAAGUAGGUGGGAUUCUUCCAAGCUCUGCCCUUUUCUCCAGACACUCCUGAUCUUCCUCCUGGGUUGGUGGUGAGCUUUUUCCCUUGUGGUCCUCCUCGUGCCCCACACGCCGAGUUCCUGUUCCCCCUGCCUUUCCUGGACCUGCUAAUCCCGGCCUGCUCUCUGGGCUCUGCUGUGAAUAAUUUCCCUUUAGGGUGGAGCUCUUCCCUUCUGCCCGUUCAUCAGCUAGUUGACGCAUCCCUCCUGGAGGAUCUGAGCUUGCUUCGCCUUCUCCAGAUGGUAACUGUGUCCUGCACCACUGAUGCACUUCAGAGAAGCUGCCACCAAGUCACCCCCGCCCAAUGUUGCUUCCUGUUUUGGUCGGAUCUCAUUUCCUGGUGGGAUUCCCACCACUGGUAGCAGAGACCUAAGGGAAUGCCCAGGACUGUUUCCUACCUCACUGGCCUGUCUCAUUCUCAUCUCUUUGGGGGAGAUAUUUUUUUUAACAGUUCACAAUCUUCACUGGAGGAGGCCAGGGGAUGUAAGAACUACCCCUCCAAAUGGUACUGGCUAGGACAGGGAGCUCAGGGCUUGGGAGCUCACCUGUAUCAGCUGUGUGGCAUAUUGGACACUAACUGAGGCUGGUCUCUGCAGCUCUUCAGGGCCUGGAUGCUGAGUCUUGUGUAGCACCGGAAUCGGCUCCCGAGGCAUUGCAUUGCCACCAGGAUUAGCAAGGGACGGGGGUCAAACCAACAGACACAGACUUAGCAGCAUCCUCCACCUUGCCAACCCCAGAAUUAGGACUGGAUCCGAAGCGGAGCAGGGCAUGCAGCGCUGUCCUCGAUGCUCUUAGAGGCUGGGGCUGGCAUUGAAACGUGGGUCUACAGCUAAGCACCGGGAUGCAUUCGGCAGGACUCCCAGCAAGAGCUCAGCCAAGCAUGGGCCACAUUUCUUGUUCCUCCGUACCUGACCGGACGGGUGCCUGUGUGCAGAAGGAGGGGCCUGCAAGCCCUGUCUCUGCGAUCCCGGUGGAAGAACUGGGAGGAAUUUAAAGCUGUUUGCUUUGAAGCGUGAACCUCUGUGACCUACUUGUUUGUUCUAAGCAGCAAAAACUGUCAGGUUGGUUCCUGCACCCAACUCUAACCCUGGGCUCUGAUUUGCAGGGCUGAGGUCUCCUGGAAAACUGCAGGGUGGGUGACGUAUUCUGUUAAAUAGCAAGCAUGAAUCUGAGCACUGACCUCAUCUGAUCCUUGUUGAAGAGAGGGGUUCUCCUUGGGUUGUGGGACCAGCAGGUAUAACUGCCCACCCCUCCUGGGGAUAUAAUUUUAGUGUGUGUGUGUGUGUGUGUGUGUGUGUGUGUGUGUGUGUUCUGUAUACUCAGGACUUGUUGAGUUUCCAUGAAUGUUUUAAAUGUGCCUGGAUCAGGAGUCCUUGUGUGUAUUUAUUCUUAGCAGCCAGUCCCUGACUGUCUGCAUCUGUCACAAAUCAGGGUGGCCUGUUUUUACUGGUAUGAUGUGGGUUUGGGUGUGACGCAGCUUGGGUGGAUCACACCCAAACCCACAUGACCAGCUGUCGCUGUAGGACCAUCAUUUGGUGGCCUCUGUAGGAAAGGAGGGGUUGAGGUCUUGGGCUUGGUUCCCAGUAGGUAGCUCUUUCCAUGGCAGAAAUGCCAUCCUACUAAUUCAGCUCUGUGCUUGGCAGUGACGGUAGAGAAGCUAAGGACUGAAUCAAUGGCAGUUAUUUUUGUGGUGAUCUUCUGAAGGCAGAAUGGUGGGGGGAGUCUACUCAGUUUGCACCUGGUCUGAUAAAUAGAGGCCGCAAGGGUUGCACUAAAUCCACUUGACACGUUCUCUCCCCCUGUUGGAGAAGGAUAAGGGGAUGACAGUCCUUGGUAGUCAGGAGGGGGAGAUUCCUAUCAUGAAGUUGGCUAAACUUCCUAGCAGCAUCUGGCUGGUCCAGGUGCACCCUUCCACCCCCGCCAUCCUUCCUGGUGCGCUAGGGGCUGCACAUCUCCUACCCACUAAGCACUCACUAGCUUGAUUUCCCAUUAUCCUGAUGUACGACUGCACUUAGCCAGUGCCCCUUGGUGCACAGACGGAGCUGGGAGAGAGCUCCCAUUUGUCUGCCUCUUCUCUAGGUCUUGAUGUCUGUGACUUUUCUAGGGGUGGGUAUGGAGCCUGCUGCCAGGGUAAGGUUGCUGUUGCAGCUGCAGGGUGUUCCUGAAACUCCCCAAGGUUCUAGAGACGGGGUAACGUCCUGGUCUUCCCAAGCAAAGGUAUUGGCUUGUGUGCCAGGUUGCUUUUUAUAACUUUGAUUUAUUUUUAAUUUAAAAAAGUAAAUAAAUGAAUUUGUAUUUGAUCACACACAGCCUCUCGCCUCUGUCGUUUUCCCUGUGUGAGCCGGCCUUGCCUGAACGCAACAUCUAGCUAUAGACACCUAAGCUGCUUUUGGUCUGGGGUGAGGCAGCUGUGCUCUCUCCUUGGCUCAUGGUAGAGACAGAACUUGGCUAGAAUGAAGGGCAGAACUUUGUUUCGAAAUAAUGCUAGUAUCUCGAAAUAACAAUUCUGUGUAGACUUAUGGAGGAUAAAAGCUAGUUCAGUGUGACCAUCUACACAGCCAUUCUGUUAUUUUGAAGUAAUUUGGAAAUAACAGACGACUUAUUCUGAAAUCUGUAAACCUCAUUCUACGAGGAAUAACGCCCAUUUCGAAAUGCGGCACGUCUAGACAUUCCAUUGAUGCUUUUUCGAAAUAGCCCCUCACUAGGGCCAUUCUAAG